rnacentral:rRNA from 1 species
UACGUAGGUGGCAAGCGUUAUCCGGAAUUACUGGGUGUAAAGGGAGCGUAGGCGGGUAUGCAAGUCAGAUGUGAAAACUUGGGGCUUAACCCCAAGACUGCAUUUGAAACUGUAUAUCUUGAGUGCGGGAGAGGUAAAUGGAAUUCCUAGUGUAGCGGUGAAAUGCGUAGAUAUUAGGAGGAACACCAGUGGCGAAGGCGAUUUACUGGACCGUAACUGACGCUGAGGCUCGAAAGCGUGGGGAGCAAACAGG